rnacentral:rRNA from 1 species
GAGGAAAAGAAACCAACAGGGAUUGCUCUAGUAACGGCGAGUGAACAAGCAAAAGCUCAGUUUUGAAAGCCUACUUUGUAGGCAUUGUAUUCUGAAGCCUAGAUUCUGGGAAACGGUGUUUAAGUCUUCUGGAAAGGAGCGCCACGGAGGGUGAUAGCCCCGUACGGCACUGACCCCAUUGUAGUUUCUAGGCGUGGAGUCGAGUUGUUUGGGAAUGCAGCUCAAAUGGGAGGUAUGCUCCUUCUAAAGCUAAAUAUUUGCGAGAGACCGAUAGCGAACAAGUACUGUGAAGGAAAGAUGAAAAGAACUUUGAAAAGAGAGUGAAAUAGGACGUGAAAUUGUUGAAAUGGAAGGGUAGGCUGCUAACCAUGUAGGACCGUGUCUGAGGGGAAGAUAAAAGCUACGGAAUGUGACUCUUCGGAGUGUUAUAGCCGUGGUCAAUGUUCCCACUUAGGCGCGAGG